rnacentral:rRNA from 1 species
UACGUAGGGUGCAAGCGUUAAUCGGAAUUACUGGGCGUAAAGGGCGCGUAGGCGGCCUUCUAAGUCGAACGUGAAAUCCCCGGGCUCAACCCGGGAACUGCGUCCGAUACUGGGAGGCUUGAAUCCGGGAGAGGGAUGUGGAAUUCCAGGUGUAGCGGUGAAAUGCGUAGAUAUCUGGAGGAACACCGGUGGCGAAGGCGGCAUCCUGGACCAACACUGACGCUGAGUGAGCGAAAGCCAGGGGAGCAAACGGG